rnacentral:rRNA from 1 species
AUUGAACGCUGGCGGCAGGCCUAACACAUGCAAGUCGAGCGGAUGAAGGGAGCUUGCUCCUGGAUUCAGCGGCGGACGGGUGAGUAAUGCCUAGGAAUCUGCCUGGUAGUGGGGGACAACGUUUCGAAAGGAACGCUAAUACCGCAUACGUCCUACGGGAGAAAGCAGGGGACCUUCGGGCCUUGCGCUAUCAGAUGAACCUAGGUCGGAUUAGCUAGUUGGUGAGGUAAUGGCUCACCAAGGCGACGAUCCGUAACUGGUCUGAGAGGAUGAUCAGUCACACUGGAACUGAGACACGGUCCAGACUCCUACGGGAGGCAGCAGUGGGGAAUAUUGGACAAUGGGCGAAAGCCUGAUCCAGCCAUGCCGCGUGUGUGAAGAAGGUCUUCGGAUUGUAGAGCACUUUAAGUUGGGAGGAAGGGUUGUAGAUUAAUACUCUGCAAUUUUGACGUUACCGACAGAAUAAGCACCGGCUAACUCUGUGCCAGCCGCCGCCGUAAGAC